GCCAGCAUGCUAUAGUGGUUUAGCACUGGACUAUGGACCUGGAGACCAGGGUUCAAUUCCCUGCUCAGCCA